CAGGGAAUCUUGCGCAAUGGGCGAAAGCCUGACGCAGCAACGCCGCGUGGGGGAUGAAGGCCUUCGGGUUGUAAACCCCUUUCAGGAGGGAAGAAAUUGACGGUACCUCCAGAAGAAGCACCGGCCAACUACGUGCCAGCAGCCGCGGUAAUACGUAGGGUGCGAGCGUUAUCCGGAAUCAUUGGGCGUAAAGAGCUCGUAGGCGGUUCAGCAAGUCGGCUGUGAAAGUCCGAGGCUCAACCUCGGAAUUGCAGUCGAUACUGCUGUGACUCGAGUCCGGUAGAGGAGAAUGGAAUUCUCGGUGUAGCGGUGAAAUGCGCAGAUAUCGAGAGGAACACCAGUAGCGAAGGCGGUUCUCUGGGCCGGCACUGACGCUGAGGAGCGAAAGCGUGGGGAGCAAACAGG
rnacentral:rRNA from 1 species